GACGAACGCUGGCGGCGUGCUUAACACAUGCAAGUCGAACGGAAAGGCCUUUUCGGAGGUACUCGAGUGGCGAACGGGUGAGUAACACGUUGGUGAUCUGCCCUGCACUCUGGGAUAAGCCUGGGAAACUGGGUCUAAUACCGGAUAGGACCGCACUUUAGUGUGUGUGGUGGAAAGUUUUUUCGGUGUAGGAUGAGCCCGCGGCCUAUCAGCUUGUUGGUGGGGUAAUGGCCUACCAAGGCGGCGACGGGUAGCCGGACUGAGAGGUUGGUCGGCCACAAUGGGACUGAGAGACGGCCCAGACUCCUACGGGAGGCAGAAGUGGGGAAUAUUGCACAAUGGGCGCAAGCCUGAUGCAGCGACGCCGCGUGGGGGAGGACGGCCUUCGGGUUGUAAACUCCUUUCGCCAGGGACGAAGCGUUUUGUGACGGUACCUGGAGAAGAAGCACCGGCUAACUACGUG
rnacentral:rRNA from 1 species